UAUACUUAGUGGCGGACGGGUGAGUAACGCGUGGGCAACCUGCCCCGUGCCGGGGGAUACCGCCUGGAAACAGGCGCUAAUACCGCGUAAGCGCAUACAGCCGCAUGGCAGUAUGCGGAAAGCUCCGGCGGCACGGGAUGGGCCCGCGCCCGAUUAGCCAGUUGGCGGGGUAACGGCCCACCAAAGCGACGAUCGGUAGCCGGCCUGAGAGGGCGGACGGCCACAUUGGGACUGAGACACGGCCCAAACUCCUACGGAAGGCAGCAG
rnacentral:rRNA from 1 species